AUUGAACGCUGGCGGCAGGCCUAACACAUGCAAGUCGAACGAGUGGCGGACGGGUGAGUAAUGUCUGGGAAACUGCCUGAUGGAGGGGGAUAACUACUGGAAACGGUAGCUAAUACCGCAUACCAUCAGAUGUGCCCAGAUGGGAUUAGCUUGUUGGUGGGGUAACGGCUCACCAAGGCGACGAGCCCUAGCUUGUCUGAGAGGAGGACCAGCAACACUGGAACUUAGACACGGUCCAGACUCCGACGGGAGGCAGCAUUGGUGAAUAUUGCACAAUGGGCGCAAGCCUGAUGCAGCCAUGCCGCGUGUAUGAAGAAGUCCUUCGGGUUGUAAAGUACUUUCAGCGGGGAGGCGUUACCCGCAGAAGAAGCACCGGCGAACUCCGUGCCAGCAGCCGCGGUAAUUC
rnacentral:rRNA from 1 species